rnacentral:rRNA from 2 species
UGAUUUGAAGAGCUUGCUCAGAUAUGACGAUGGACAUUGCAAAGAGUGGCGAACGGGUGAGUAACACGUGGGAAACCUACCUCUUAGCAGGGGAUAACAUUUGGAAACAGAUGCUAAUACCGUAUAACAAUGACAACCGCAUGGUUGUUAUUUAAAAGAUGGUUCUGCUAUCACUAAGAGAUGGUCCCGCGGUGCAUUAGCUAGUUGGUAAGGUAAUGGCUUACCAAGGCGAUGAUGCAUAGCCGAGUUGAGAGACUGAUCGGCCACAAUGGGACUGAGACACGGCCCAUACUCCUACGGGAGGCAGCAGUAGGGAAUCUUCCACAAUGGGCGAAAGCCUGAUGGAGCAACGCCGCGUGUGUGAUGAAGGGUUUCGGCUCGUAAAACACUGUUGUAAGAGAAGAAUGACAUUGAGAGUAACUGUUCAAUGUGUGACGGUAUCUUACCAGAAAGGAACGGCUAAAUACGUGCCAGCAGCCGCGGUAAUACGUAUGUUCCAAGCGUUAUCCGGAUUUAUUGGGCGUAAAGCGAGCGCAGACGGUUAUUUAAGUCUGAAGUGAAAGCCCUCAGCUCAACUGAGGAAUUGCUUUGGAAACUGGAUGACUUGAGUGCAGUAGAGGAAAGUGGAACUCCAUGUGUAGCGGUGAAAUGCGUAGAUAUAUGGAAGAACACCAGUGGCGAAGGCGGCUUUCUGGACUGUAACUGACGUUGAGGCUCGAAAGUGUGGGUAGCAAACAGGAUUAGAUACCCUGGUAGUCCACACCGUAAACGAUGAGUGCUAGGUGUUUGAGGGUUUCCGCCCUUAAGUGCCGCAGCUAACGCAUUAAGCACUCCGCCUGGGGAGUACGACCGCAAGGUUGAAACUCAAAGGAAUUGACGGGGACCCGCACAAGCGGUGGAGCAUGUGGUUUAAUUCGAAGCAACGCGAAGAACCUUACCAGGUCUUGACAUCCCUUGACAACUCCAGAGAUGGAGCGUUCCCUUCGGGGACAAGGUGACAGGUGGUGCAUGGUUGUCGUCAGCUCGUGUCGUGAGAUGUUGGGUUAAGUCCCGCAACGAGCGCAACCCUUAUUACUAGUUGCCAGCAUUCAGUUGGGCACUCUAGUGAGACUGCCGGUGACAAACCGGAGGAAGGUGGGGAUGACGUCAAAUCAUCAUGCCCCUUAUGACCUGGGCUACACACGUGCUACAAUGGCGUAUACAACGAGUUGCCAACCCGCGAGGGUGAGCUAAUCUCUUAAAGUACGUCUCAGUUCGGAUUGUAGGCUGCAACUCGCCUACAUGAAGUCGGAAUCGCUAGUAAUCGCGGAUCAGCACGCCGCGGUGAAUACGUUCCCGGGUCUUGUACACACCGCCCGUCACACCAUGAGAGUUUGUAACACCCAAAGCCGGUGGGGUAACCUUCGGGAGCCAG